GGAUACUGCCAGAGCUGCCCAGCCUGCCUCACCUCACACCGGGAGAGAGAGUCACACAGUUGAGUUCCUUCCCCCACCUCUUCCCAGAGAUCCCAGCAGCCAAUCCCUCUCCCUCAGACUGCUGUAGGCAGCUCAUUUGGCUCUCUAGGACCCAACCCUGCUCUUACAUGCUCCACUGCUUCCCGUCCGUCCCAGCUCCCAGCAGAGUGGUGCCCCAGACAUACUGGUGCCCUAUGCUGCCUACGGCUAAGGAUAGCCCUGCAUAUCAGAGAUUUUAGAUACUAGAGGAUUGACACCAGUGUGAUUUUUGGGGUUGGAUUAAGACCAUCGUGAGCCAUAGGAACACCAUGCCACAGGGCCUCCUGGGAUCUCGUCUCCCUGUAACAGCUGUUGGAGGCAACUGACUACAUGAGAAUCUCAGCUUUAACUUAAUCAAGUUUGCAGCAUAAUGUCUAUGGAGAAAAGUUUGAAAAUAUGACUUGACUGCAGACUCUAAAUGCUCAAUAAGUAGAAGACUGUAAAACUAAUGGGGAAAGCAGCAGUUGAAGAAACAAGAUUGAAGAACUGCAAAGAUAUUCAAGAUUCAGGCAGAAAAGAAGGCUUAAGCACCCCCACAGUGUUUCUAACCCUUCAUGGAAAUGAAGCUGAACCAAACCCCUGCCUCAGAAAACCCCAAAACAUAGGCAAAGUUUCAUUCUGCACCCAAAACUGAGAGAGAUCUUCUGUGGCUUGAAGAAGGUCGGAGGCUCCUUCCGGAGCUGUUCUGUCUGUGCCCCUGACCCAUGAAAUCCUACAAUUGAUCUUAAGUGAUGGGAAGGGUCUUGCAUAGUCCAUCUACACCUUGGUGAACUUCCCCCUGUGUGUUUGUACUGAUAAGGACACUAGAUACUAUAAUUUCUCUUAAAUUUAAUUUAAAGACAUUAUCAUAUCAACUGAACAUUUGUAUCUUAUACAAAUACUCCCUCUGCCUAGCCUGCUUUAUAUCAUUCUCAUUGAUAAUCCCUAUAAUGUCGUAAUAGUUAUGUAACCUAGGUACUAUAAGCAUUGCUAUUAUAGAUCUAUUAAGGGAAUUUUGAAGUGACAAUCUGUGCUGCAGGGAAUCACCACUUUUAAAAAGUGUAGGGUAAAGCUUUGGAGGGGGAAAAGAGAGCCAGUAUAUCAUAUGUAUAUUUUGUCACUCUGGCUACAGAAGCAAACAGCAUCAAUGAAAUUGUAUUUGACCAGAGUAAGAGUUAGAGGAAUGCAACAACUUACUGCUUUAGAGUAACAGCCGUGUUAGUCUGUAUCCGCAAAAAGAACAGGAUUACUUGUGGCUACACCUUAGAGACUAACAAAUUUAUUUGAGCAUAAG